rnacentral:piRNA from 1 species
UGUGAUGUUUUUUAACCAAGGUGUCAC